GUGGUCCCCACCAAGGAUGGUGACACAGCAGCAUGCCCCGUGAACAUAAGAGAAACACUUGGAGCAAGUGAGGACCACAGAGGCAGAGCUACCUGCUCUCCUGCCGCAGUGCCCCGUUUGCAGCCCCAGGUGCUCCUGUCCGUCAGAGAGCCUCAAGUUGUCUUCUGGUUGUAUGUGCACUCAUCUCCUGCCUUGGGCUCACAUGCUUCUGUUCACUUUCCAGGGCUCCGGAAGCUUUCGUGUCUAUUCAACUAGAAAAGGUGGGGCUGCGGGACAUGAUGCUGAAUGCCUUCCUCCUCAGGAAACAAGCCAUGGCUGACAGAAUGAAAAACCUUGAUGAAAUUGGGAAAGUCAAGAGAGAUGUUAUAGUUGAAUAUUGCCAGAAGUUCAACCGACAUAUGUCUCACUACGCUCUUCGGGGGCAGAUCAUAGCAUACUGCAACAGCCUGAGAGCCCUACUGGACGAUUUCCCUACCAUCAGAGAUACUUUUUUCAUGGUGGGACAACGACAAGAAAAGAAGGGGUUGAGGGACUCCGAUGAUGGCCUCAAGAAUGACCCCAGGCAGCUUUUAGAGCCUUAAAGCUAACUCUGCAGCUGAUAGCCCCUCUCCAUGACAUUGUGGCCUACCUUUUCAGUUUUGCUAAACUUGGAAAUUGUCCAGCAUGUUUUGAAUUUCCUCUGAGUCCUAACCCUCUGAGAGGUGACUGGGGAGGAACUGAGGGUAUUGGUAAGUGAUUAAAGGUGAUUAAAAUGCCUUCAAUAUUCAGUUGAAAUUCCAUGAUGUGCUUUUUUU
rnacentral:lncRNA from 1 species